GAUGAACGCUGGCGGCGUGCCUAAUACAUGCAAGUCGAGCGAACAGACGAGGAGCUUGCUCCUCUGACGUUAGCGGCGGACGGGUGAGUAACACGUGGAUAACCUACCUAUAAGAUUGGGAUAACUUCGGGAAACCGGAGCUAAUACCGGAUAAUAUAUUGAACCGCAUGGUUCAAUAGUGAAAGACGGUUUUGCUGUCACUUAUAGAUGGAUCCGCGCCGCAUUAGCUAGUUGGUAAGGUAACGGCUUACCAAGGCGACGAUGCGUAGCCGACCUGAGAGGGUGAUCGGCCACACUGGAACUGAGACACGGUCCAGACUCCUACGGGAGGCAGCAGUAGGGAAUCUUCCGCAAUGGGCGAAAGCCUGACGGAGCAACGCCGCGUGAGUGAUGAAGGUCUUCGGAUCGUAAAACUCUGUUAUUAGGGAAGAACAAAUGUGUAAGUAACUAUGCACGUCUUGACGGUACCUAAUCAGAAAGCCACGGCUAACUACGUG
rnacentral:rRNA from 1 species